rnacentral:rRNA from 1 species
AUUGAACGCUGGCGGCAGGCCUAACACAUGCAAGUCGAACGAGUGGCGGACGGGUGAGUAAUGUCUGGGAACCUGCCCGAUGGAGGGGGAUAACUACUGGACACGGUAGCUACUACCGCAUACCAUCGGAUGUGCCCAGAUGGGAUUAGCUAGUAGGUGGGGUAAUGGCUCACCUAGGCGACGAUCCUUAGCUGGUCUGAUAGGAUGACCAGCAACACGGGAACUGAGACACGGUCCAGACGCCUACGGGAGGCAGCAGUGGGGAAUAUGGCACAAUGGGCGAAAGCCUGAUGCAGCAAUGCCGCGUGGAUGAAGAAGGCCUUCGGGUUGUAAAGUACUUUCAGCGAGGAGGCGUUACUCGCAGAAGAAGCACCGGCUAACUCCGUGCCAGCAGCCGCGGUAAUUC